ACGACCUGAAACACCUCCUGAAGCCACAAGAUAAUUCACUUACCUGCCACUCUGACCUCUAUGUCAAAGCUGGACUGUCCACUUCUUCAUCAUGAGUUUUUUGUCAUGAUGGUGUAAACACCUGAGUCUGAAUAGUUUGACAAGGGGAUGACGAGUGUGGAC
ensembl:lncRNA